rnacentral:rRNA from 1 species
GCGUGGAGACAGGUGGUGCAUGGCUGUCGUCAGCUCGUGUCGUGAGAUGUUGGGUCAAGUCCCGCAACGAGCGCAACCCUUACCCCUUGUUGCCAUCAGGUCAUGCUGGGCACUCUAGGGGAACUGCCCCGGUCAACGGGGAGGAAGGCGGGGAUGACGUCAAGUCAUCAUGCCCCUUACGCCCUGGGCUACACACGUGCUACAAUGGCCGGUACAAAGGGAUGCAAGACCGCGAGGUGGAGCUAAACCCAAAAAGCCGGUCUAAGUUCAGAUUGGAGUCUGCAACUCGACUCCAUGAAGGAGGAAUCGCUAGUAAUCGCGUAUCAGCACGACGCGGUGAAUACGUUCCCGGGCCUUGUACACACCGCCCGUCACACCACGAAAGUCAGCUGUACUCGAAGUCGCUGAG